AUGACAAAACAGAAGCAGGAGCAAGCUGCCACCCCCGGCCCCGCUCUCUUCUCCCUCCACCCUACACUUUUCUUCCUAUUCUCGUCGCUAGAUACCAACUUCCAGUUCACCCCCGCCGCGACCAAGAGGCAGCCGGCGACGAGGAAGGCGGACGAGGACGAACCUUCGCACUCGCAGGGCGAUGACGGGAGGCCGGCGGCCAUGGAUCAUGUCAGGAAGCGCCACCAAGAGAAGGGCUUCCUCUAUGACUGCUUCUUCAUGCUGUGCUGCUGCUUCUUCUGCCAUGAGGCCUGCGAGCACUGCCGCAAGCGCUUCUGCUGCUGCCGCAACAAGGACGAGUGA
rnacentral:rRNA from 1 species